AACCCCCAACCUCCUCCCUGGCUCCCGGUGCCGCCCGCCCCCAUCUCCUCCCCGAUCCCGGCGCCGCCCGCCCCCAUCUCCUCCCUCACUCCCGGUGCCGACCCCGCCCGCACCUUCUCCCUCACUCCAUAGCCCGCGCCCGCGUUCUUCCUCCCCCAUCUCGUCUCAUCUCCGGUCGCUGCAGAGGAGCCUCAGCCCCCAAUACGAGCCGCCGCCGAGAUCCAAGACGAGCCCCGCUGAGAUCCGAGUCGAUCCGCCGCCGCCGAGGACCGAGUGGAGCCGCCGCCGGCGCUGGCCAGGCUCCCCACGAUGUGCGCGCCGGGGCGCCGCUCCCGCUCCCGCAGCCGAGCAUAGCAGCAGCGGCGGAGCCCUGCCGCUGGCGAGCUCUCUCUGGCGGAGGAGGGCGGGGGCGAGCUCACCGUCUCCCUCGCGCUCAACGCCAUGGAGAAGACGCCGCCAUCUCUGCUCUUCUCCCUCUCCUCUAGGGUUUUGGCGCCGCCAUCUCCGCACUUCUAGAAAGAGAUCGGGAGAGGCUGAGCCCAGAGCUAGAUGAAGGAGAAGAGAAUGUCCAUGGAUCAUUAAGGGGCGGCGGCGAGACGAGGCUGAUGAAGGUGUUCGUAGGUGGCCUGGCGUGGGAGACGAGCAAGGAGGGCAUGCGCGUCCACUUCGAGCGCUUCAGCGAGAUCCUCGAGGCCGUCGUCAUCGCCGACAAGGGCACCGGCAGAUCCAAGGGCAGCAGAUUCUCCUGUUAGUUGAUGCUAUGCCUGAAUGGAUCCUUGGUAAGUUACGUUCUGGAGGCAGAGGCGGACAUCAAGACAUGGUGAAUGACGUCCAGAGGGCCAACUGCAACCUCGCCUACCUUGGGAUCCAGAGGUCCAAGGCACCACAACCAACUGCCUCUGCAUCCAUAUUCUGGUUUAUUUCAGUUUAGUGUGGUAAUCGGCAGCAACCAAGUUAACAAAUCUUAACUGAAGUAUGUGUUUUAAAUCUUCGGUGGUGAUUUUUUUCUUGUGAGUAGACCAAUACAAACUGAAGUAUGUAUUCUGAAUUUUGUUCAUGUGACUAGAUGCAUAUGAACUGAACUACUGAAGCUCUGUUAUUCUUUCUAAGACGACGAUGGUCGCAACUCCAUCUAAACUCGAAACAGAUAUCGGCCAUCUCUUAUUCUUUCUAAAUCUUAACAGAGGAAAAUUUUCACAAGCUUUAGAUGGAGUCUGGCGUGUUAUUCGAAUUUGAUUCAGAAUAGAAACAGAUAUCGCAAACUUGAAUGUACUAACGUGACACGAUUCAGAUUGCAUUGGCUGACAUAUGUAAUGAUCUUCAUAUAAAAGGGAAAAUUAAAUCAAUCACAUGUACCUCCGGGUUGCCCGACGCAAAUGUUUGAGAAGCAGUACAUGAGAUUGCCGAGGAAAGCUAUUAAGAGAAGCAUACAAAUAUACUAAGAUGACACCUGAUUCUCUAGGUGUGCAUGACAUACUGAUCAUCAUUUGAACUAAUCUAUGAUCUUGUUUGCAAUUUCAGGGUGGUGUAGCAAGCAAGCAAGAAUUGGAGAGUCUUCGGUGCAUGCUUGGAGAAGAGGCUAAGAUGAGAGGCUUCAAUCUGGAGAUGACAAGGAUAGUCACCUGGUGCAACUAAAGGUUCGGUUUCAUACUUGUGAAGUUGUGAUGAUAUUGUUCAGGUAGUACUCCCUGACUGAUUUCACUUGUACUAUUUCUUCACAGAAGGUACUAAAAUAUCUUGUCAUACUAAUAUUUAAUUUCUACUGAUACUUUGUGAGAAUACUCAGUUUCCUUAUACUAAAAUAUACCUGUUUACUUUUGUACUGAAAUGUACCUUCUUACAAAGAUUUCAUAGGAAGGAGGAGGUUAAGGGAGCAAAAGGCAUGUGGAGACAGGAGCCAGCUCAAGGAGAAGUUAACCCAUAAAUUACUUAAAUAAUAAUUUAAUAAACCUCUGAUUUACCUACAGAAUAAAAGGCCUAUGAUGAAAGAAUAGCAUCCAGAAAAAAUACAACUAGAUAACGGGACAAUUUCAUAUGGGAGAAUGACAAAUUAGAGAGCUUAAACAUUAAGUUGCCUCCAAAGCUUUGCAAACCGCAAUGGUACAAAACUAAGUUCAGUUCUUACUGGUUUCUUACUGCAUGAAGAACUCUCGUCGUUACCAUUUUCCAAACCUGUAGCAAGCAAUGCAUUAGAUGACAAUUCAAAUUAUUGGACACCAAGACUGCUGAGAAGCAUUAUUGUAACAAACAUGGAAAGAGCUUACAUCCAUGACAUCAUCAUCCCCAUGCCUCUGACUUUUAUCCCUUUGUUCAGGUGUCAAGUAGUUGGCCAUUUGGCGGAAGUCAGGUCCAGGGGGAGACUCCGGUGUCCAGGAACUCUGCCCAGGAAAGAUGUCAAUCAUAAGUUCCAGGUGCUCAGGCAAGUAGUAACAUACAAGGCACACGAUGGAAGAGAUGGCGUUCCCAGAGAUGUGAAUCACAUGGGUGCGGCAUCAAGAAUGAUUUGUGGAUAAGUGUUUCAACUGAUGGAUCCGGAUGAAACUUUCAAAAUGUCGACUGACACUGCCAUUGAUGUAACGAUAUCAUCAAGUUUUACUCAACUACCAGAUGAGAUGCAUACAAAUAACUAUUCUUUUUUGUAUGUGUGGUGCACACGAUAACGUAAAGGGUGUAUUUUUAUAUAUGUUUAUUUUUGAAGAAUGAGAUGGAUUAUGUCGAUGUUUAAAAAGAAUCCAUCGACAAGGGUCCCGAGGCGACGUCGUUCGGAGGAGACGAAAAUUCAGCGAGUUUUAUAGAGAGUGAAAAGCGUGCAAGCGAGGAUAGCCCAUAAGAACAUUAAAGGCAAAAUAAAUAAAUGUUACCCAUGGGAUAUUAUUUUA